AAAAACCAAUGCCCUUCGGGGCUUCCUGGUGAUUCAUAAUAACUUCUCGAAUCGCACGGCCUUGCGCCGGCGAUGGUUCAUUCAAAUUUCUGCCCUAUCAACUUUCGACGGCUGGGUCUUGGCCAGCCGUGGUGACAACGGGUAACGGAGGGUUAGGGCUCGACCCCGGAGAAGGAGCCUGAGAAACGGCUACUACAUCCAAGGAAGGCAGCAGGCGCGCAAAUUACCCAAUCCCGACACGGGGAGGUAGUGACAAUAAAUACUGAUACAGGGCUCUUUUGGGUCUUGUAAUUGGAAUGAGUACAAUUUAAAUCCCUUAACGAGGAACAAUUGGAGGGCAAGUCUGGUGCCAGCAGCCGCGGUAAUUCCAGCUCCAAUAGCGUAUAUUAAAGUUGUUGAGGUUAAAAAGCUCGUAGUUGAACCUUGGGCCUAGCCGACCGGUCCGCCUCACCGCGUGCACUGGUUCGGUUGGGUCUUUCCUUCUGGAGAACCUCAUGCCCUUUACUGGGUGUGUUGGGGAACCAGGACUUUUAC
rnacentral:rRNA from 1 species